rnacentral:lncRNA from 1 species
CUAACAUGCAAUUAAAGUGAAACCAGAGUGCGGAUACUGCAGCGGCAACACUGAAUGGGGGAGUAGGAGAGAUGUGGAUUUCCUUAGGCACGUGGUCUUUCCAAACCAUGGAUUGAGAGAGGCAGAGAAGGCUGUGAGCAAGCCCAGCGCUGGACGACUACUUCCUCUGGAGGUGACCUGUUCUUUCUGCCUGGAACCUGUGAGAUUUUCUCAUCAUCCUUGAGGUUCAGGAAUUUCACCAGGUGAAAGAUUCUAGUAACAUCAUGUGACGUAAGUGUCCUAGUCUUAUGCAGAACUGUGCAGCUUUUUCCUGGACUUUGCCAUGAUCAAAAUGCUGGG